UAUUUAAAUGUACAGCAAAUUAUGAUCUGUCUCUAAAAUUGUUCAAUUAUUUAAAAAGUCAGUUGUUUCUGCUUUUCUUGUCAUUAAGAUUGUUAACUUUUUUCGUAUACUAAAUAUGUUUACUUUUUCAUACACUGUAACUUGAAGUAGGGAUUUGCUUAAUUUCCAACAUCCUCUCAAUGUUGUUUCCUUCCUUCCUUCCCUAAUUGUGUCCCCUGCUCAAGGAAGACUGUAAUCCUUCCAGUUACCGGAUUCUCAGUUACCAAAACAAUUUAACAUUUUCAGUGAUAGCUCUAAAAUUACUUCUAUACAAUGAAUUUUAAACAGAGAUUUAGAAAAUUUACUAAUUUAACAAUGUGCACGAAACUUGUGAAGGACUUCAAGAAGAUAGAACAUCAUUUGUUUUGAAGUGAAAGGAGCUGAAGGCUGUUUUUUAUUCUUAGUUUCAGAAACAACCAUCGUUGACAUGUAGCAGCGAGGGUGACCCCAUCAUCGCACCUUCAUCUCAAGAAUGCUCGUGAGACUGUGAAGACAUCUCAUGUGCAUGACAGCCUGAUGGAAGGACAUCUUUUAUCAUGGCAGACACACAACUAUUUUGUGCUUUAAUCGCGGUUAUCUUCAGUAUCAGUCAUUCGGAUGACAGCUGUGGAGAUGUGAAGGUUAUAAGUCCUGUCUGGAACACCUUCAACAUGUCUGUCAAUGACUGGCUGAACAUGACUUUCCAGCUGGACACAGAUAAAUGUUCAAGUCCAACUUACAUUAAUCACCGCAGAAAAAAACGAAGAUCGUCCAAUGAUUAUUUGUCGAAUACAUCACAACAAAACCUCGUGCUAUAAAACAGGUGAAGAAGCCAUGUACUCAUGUCGCUGUGUCAGUCCCUCAGGUCCUGUGGAAUUCUGGGAAAAGCUGGUGAGACCUGGAGAUGUGGAGUACAGGUGGAGAUGGACUGAUGUCUCAUCAGGAAAGCAUGGCGAGAAAAAGAUAAAUGUUCACGUUGCAAGCAUCAACAAAAAUUUCAAAUAUUUUCAAACAGCAAAAUUUAUUCUCGUGGGAUUUGGUGGACUCUUAGUGAUUGUUGCUGUCGUUAUUACUUUUGCCAGUUGCCAGUCACCAAGAUCCGUGAGUGAGUGUCUCUAUUGUUGCUAUAAUUUACUAGGGACUGAAAAUAUUCUAAUUUCCAGAAAAAUUGAUUUCUUGAAAGAUCAAAUUUGUUGUUCAUUGAAACUUUUUGUCUAUAUCUUUCCUGUAGAUAGUUGUCUACAGAUAUAGAUACAUUCUGUGUGUAUGCUAACAAACAC